UACGUAGGGUGCAAGCGUUGUCCGGAAUUAUUGGGCGUAAAGAGCUUGUAGGCGGUUUGUCGCGUCUGCUGUGAAAUUUCGGGGCUCAACCCCGAACUUGCAGUGGGUACGGGCAGACUAGAGUGUGGUAGGGGAGACUGGAAUUCCUGGUGUAGCGGUGAAAUGCGCAGAUAUCUGGAGGAACACCGGUGGCGAAGGCGGCAUUCUGGACCGACAUUGACGCUGAGGAGCGAAAGCCAGGGGAGCAAACGGG
rnacentral:rRNA from 1 species